CAGGCUUUAAAAAUAACCUUUAUUUUUUAAAAGUUAGUAUGUGCAUUAUAGGAAAUCGAAAAACACAAGCAAAGAACAAAGUCAUUCACAAUCACAAGCAGUUUAUAGUUUGACAUAUUCUUCUAGAUCCUGUGUGUAGGCACAACAUCCAAUUUUAUGGGACUGAGACUGUACAGUAUGUAUCAUGAUUUUUCACACAUCAUGAAUAUUUACCAAUUCAAAAUCCCAAAGCUAUAUGAGUAUUUUGAUAACCAAGAAUACACUACACCAACUCAAACUGCUAAAAAAAAAAAAAAAAAAAAAAGAUGUAAUCCUGCCUUUCUUGGGACAGAAAUUUCAUAUAAGACAAAAAUGGCAACACGCCUCUAGAUAAAAGCAUUGGCAGAGUUCCGAUUUAAAUGCUGCAUUCCCUUAAUGCUCAAUUUAAAAUGAAACACACAGCAACAGAAUACAGUAAGUAUGUUUUUAAGAGAAUUCAUUAGCAGAUCUAUACCAUUAAAAUAUUAGCAAAGUAUAUUUCCAUUGAAUUAAUGUGUUCUUAUAGUACAGCCAAGAGAUGCAUACAUCAAUGGCUAUCAAAAUGUAAAUAUGGACAUAUAUGGACACAUCUGCAUACAUCUCUACCUGUAUAAUUCCUUCUGCCCCUCUGCUGCCAACCUAAUGAACAAGUCCUGACAUACACUGCUCAGAGGUGGCUUAACAAUUCCAUGUCCAAGAUGUAUCCUAUCAAUUAUAACAAAGGUAUUUACAAAUAGGCUAAUUCACUAGCUCUAGUUUUUAUCAUAAGUUGUCACCCCAUUCGUAAAGCUUAGAUGUUGCAAAAUAAUAACUUUGUCCACAAUGAACACAGGCACUUUACUAAAAACGCUCAUGUAGACCUGUGGUUAUCAUCUAAAACCAUCGUCUAGAUAUGGAGAUACUAGCAAAGAGCCCUUCCCUUCACCCUUCCUCUUCUCCCUCUUCCACCAUCCCCGUGACUAAGUACAGGAUGUCUAGCUCCAAGGGGUGGACUAAUACAGGUCACUCCCAGAAGACAGGCCUUCCUAAGAACUAACAAAAGGACAUUCACAAAGGGACUGAUUUANNNNNNNNNNUCUUCCCUAUGAAUUUUAACACAAAGUGUACUCAAUGUAGUAGUUUACUAAUUCUACUUUUGUCAUAUACCGGCAACCUUUUUAACAUCGACUAGACGUAAAUUAGGACUCCUAUGUCCGCUUAUAUACACUAUAUACACAGCACAGUAAAUGAAAAUGCAGACAUAAGGGACAAUGGUCAAUGUGCCUCCUCAUAAACACACUGGACACUGGUAGAAAGCCCUUUGCACUUUGUGCUCCUCCUUCCCCCUGAACCAGCACAAAUAUCAAAAUGUGUACUGCUCAGAGAAUUGAUCAAUUUCCAAGACAAUAUUUCAUAUCAAAAGGAUAGCUACAAAAUGUGUUAUUUACUACCUCUACUUUUAACAUACUUUGUGCACUUCUAAACAUCUAGAAAGACUAGAUGUUUCAAAUAAGGACUUAAGUUUGUCCGCUAUAUACACAGUAGGGUUGAAUAAACUACACACAUGUAACAAUGGUUAUAUCUGAUAGUGUCUUCUAAAUACGAACAUUCUGGCCUAGAACCCUUCCCAUCUCCAUCAACCCAGAAGACAUCAAAUUUUCAGAAGACAAUCUUUCCUAGGACUUGUAAAACAAAAUGUACAAAAUAUAUUAGUUUACUAACUCUACUUUUGUCAUACACUGGCAACCUCUUUAACAUCCAGAAAGACUAGAUGUUGUCAAUUAGGACUCGUCUGUCCUUUAUGUACACUAUAUACACAGAUAAGUAAAACAAAAUGCACAGACGUAAUGAUUCAUCUUGCCUCGCUGUAAACAGGAUGGCAUAGAGCUCUCUGCACCUCCCCCUCCUCUCUCCUCCCCUGAACCACUGCACAAACACAAUGAGUAUUACUCAACAGGUGAUUUGGCCAUUCCCCCCCAAAAAUAUUUCCUAUGAAUUGUAACAAAAAGGUAUUUACAAAAUGUGAUUUUGCUACCUCUAAUUUUAACAUAUCAGGCACUUCAGAACGUCUAAAAAGAAGAGAUAUUUCAAAAAAGCUUAGCAUUGUCAACUAUAUACACAGUAGUGAGGAAUAAAAUGCACACAAAACAAUGGAUAGAAUAUGAAAAUGUCUUCUAAAUAUGACCAGUCUAGCAUAGAACCUUCUUCUCUUCCUUCUCAGGUCUUCCAGCUCCAUGUCAUCUAACCCACUUAACAAACGUGGACGUAUCGCUUCCAGAGGCCGUCUUAACAACUCCGUUUCCAAAAGUCAUCUCCAGAAGACAUGUAUUUUCUAUGAUUUCUUUUAAACAAAUGAGAAUUUACAAGAUGUGUAACUUUCUAACUCUAUUUUAUCAUACGUCGGCAACCUCUUUCCAUCUAGAAGGGCUAGAUGUGACAAAUGUUUUCUAUUAAAAGGUUGGGGUGGAGUUGAGAGCAGCUUUUUCAUAUUAUAUACACAGGCCUUCCAUAAACGGCCAGUAAAUCUUCCCAGAGGGUGGUGGGCAUUUCCAACGGGCCAAACGUGGCCUGUCAUUCUACCAUUUCUCUCUUCCGACAGCAAAGUCUGGUAGAAUGAAGACCAACCGCCCGAUGGCCGCUAACCGUUCCACCCGUCGUCGUUCGGGACUUCGCUCACCUUCCAGGCCCCUUAAGGCCUUUGUCCGUUGUCGUCAGGACUAGGUAGGUCUCGCCAAAUGGCGACAGAGUGGUCACCCGGGAACCGGAUCUGUGCGGCUCCGUGGCCUAAAGAGGCGGCCGAGCCUGCUUGCGUCCCUAGGCCGCCUUCCCGGGCCGUCCAUGCCUUAAUGGCCUCCGCCGCACGGCGUUCGAGCGGCCGCCAUACUUCCCGGCCCACCACGCCCGGCGCCGCCCAAAGGCGCUGUGUCCUGGCGGCUCUGCGGGGGUUUCGUCGAGGCCCAGCAGGCUUGGGUCGGGAGACCCGGGUGCCGGCGGGGUCCGGGCUGGGAGACGCCACGGCCGCCAUCAGUCACCGAGGUGGGGUGGGAAAGAGAGGUUCGCUGCGGCUUCAAGGUCUGGGCACAGCCAGUGGGCAGCCACAGCAGAGGCCUCCGUUAUCUGCAGGGCAGAGGGCUCGGCCUGUCCCGGGGCCCCCCAGUUCACCCGCCGGCCCGGGGCCGGAGGGCCUGGAGGGCCCUGGAGGAGCGGGCUGCGUUCUGCGUCUCUCCGCGAUCUCUG
rnacentral:lncRNA from 1 species